GAUGAACGCCGACAGAAUGCUUAACACAUGCAAGUCAACUUGAACUUCGGUUUGGGUGGCGGACGGGUGAGUAACGCGUAAAGAACUUGCCUCACAGCUAGGGACAACAUUUGGAAACGAAUGCUAAUACCUGAUAUUAUGAUUAUAUGGCAUCGUAUAAUUAUGAAAGCUAUAUGCGCUGUGAGAGAGCUUUGCGUCCCAUUAGCUAGUUGGAGAGGUAACAGCUCACCAAGGCGAUGAUGGGUAGCCGGCCUGAGAGGGUGAUCGGCCACAAGGGGACUGAGGCACGGCCCUUACUCCUACGGGAGGCAGCAGUGGGGAAUAUUGGACAAUGGACCGAGAGUGUGAUCCAGCCAUUCUGUGUGUACGAUGAAGUUUUUCGGAAUGUAAAGUGCUUUCAGUUGGGAAGAAAAAAAUGACGGUACCAACAGAAGAAGUGACGGCUAAAUACGUG
rnacentral:rRNA from 1 species